rnacentral:tRNA from 1 species
GGGCGGUUAGCUCAGUUGGUUAGAGCGUCUGCUUUACACGCAGAAGGUCGAGGGUUCGAGUCCCUCACCGCCUAC